GCCCAGGCGGUCCCCUGCGCGCAGGGCCUCCCUGAGCUUGACGGGGCUUCGAUGGGAUGUCCAGCGGCUGUCCCGCUCCUUGGUGGGCUGGGGGAGAGGGCGCACGAGAGGAACUUGCCAGGUCUUCUUAGCACACACUAGUCCCUCUCGGAUCUGCGUGCGCCCUGCGCGGCUGGCAGAGCCCGCUUCUCCAGGAGUUCGGUUCUUGCUUCAGGUCGCAAUAGAGACCAAACCCCAGACAUGAUUCCUGGACAACGGCUUCCCGGCAGGGGCGUCCAGCCGGCGGCCAUGGUGUCCUCAGUGGGGAAGGUGACUCAGGUCCCCAGCGGGAAUGUCUACCAGCAGAUCUUCGAGGCUGAGGUAGGCCUGCCCCU